rnacentral:snoRNA from 1 species
GUCCAAAAUACAGUGAUGUCCUUUCCUAUAUCUGAUUGCUCUGUGUGGAAAAUGAGCGUUACUGAGAGAUUUUGGAU